GUUGCGCGGUCUCAGCCGCAGUGGUGGCGGCAGCAGCGGAGACCCCCGCCUGGGUCAUGAUCCCAGGCGGGGAAAGCAGGGGUGUCUGACCGUCCGGGCGAAUCUAUCUGUCCGCGGCCGCCGCCUACUCCUCCGGGGCUGGGGGAGCGCGGGCCCAGGCCCUCCUCUCCCCCCGCCCCCGCCGCCUCUUCUUGCGGCCACCGCCGCCGCUGCGAGCCCGAGCCCUCAAGGCCGGAGACCCGCCGGCAGUGCGGCCUCAACUUUCCCAGCCCCCCUCCCCCCGCCCCUCCCCGCCCCUCCCGCGGCCGCCGCUCAGCACCAGAACAGCCUACCCUGGGUGCACCACGCUCCCGCCCCUAUACUGAACUAGCCAAUCCGGAGCCGAGAAGGCUACUGUGGUGGCCAAUGAGAAGCCGGAACGCCGUUGCGCUGGGCUCGAGGCUGUGGGAGUUUGGAAGUGGAAAACAAGAAGAGGAAGAGGGCACGGAAAGCUUUCGGAACGAUUUAGAGAGCUCCUCUUAGCCUAGAAGGCAAGAAAGGAAAGAGGAUGCCUCCAUACGAAGGAGAUGAACUGCGGGAGAGGGCCACUGACAGCCUGGACUGGGACAGCUCUUGUCUCAGCUUCACUCACCCACUCCUUGCUCCUGGAGGCGAGAGCUGAGUAAAAUGUGUCUCCUUCCUGGGAACCCCUGUGGCAGAGCCGGGCCCAGUGCGAGCGCUGGAGGUGCUGGGAACCAAACCAGGGCCUCCUGCAUGUUAGGCAAGCUCUCUGCCACUGAGCCAUAUCUCCAGUGUUCUAAUACUCUAAUAGUUUUUUUGUGUGCAUGUUGUUUUGUUUUGUUUAAAGGAUAUAUUGAAUCCCAGUGACUUGGGAGGCUGAGACAGAAGGAUCACAAAUUCAAGGCCAGCCUCAGCAACUUAGUGAGACUCUUAUCAACUUAAUGAAACCCUUUCUCAAAAUAAUAAAUGAAAAAUGGCUGGGGACAUACCUUAGUGGUAAAAUGCCCCUGGGACCAAUCCCUACAAUACAAAAACUUAGCAUUUUUAACUUAAUUAUGUCUCCUACAAGUAAAAAAUAUUUUAUUUGCUUAUUUGAUGCUUAUUUUUAUUUUUUAUUUUUUCUUAUUGAACUGGUUAGGGCAUCCAGGGACAAAAUUUUAUGAGAAAUGGUAAGAGCACCUAUUCUUGUUUUCCUCCCAAUUUUAGUAUUAAAACAUUCAGUCUUUUACCAGUAGGAUGGUAGCUUGUAGGUUUUUAUAGAUGAUCCUUUCAUUUCUAUAUUGUUCAAAGUUUUUCUCAUGAAUGGAUGUUGAAUUUUGUCAAAUACUUUAUUCUGCAUCCAGAUAAUCAUUUUCUUUUAGGGUUGUUAAUGUGAAUUAUAAUUGAUUUUCAAUUGUUAAAAGCCAGCUUGUGGUGCACGCCUGUAAUCCCAGCAGCUUGGGAGGCUGAGGCAGGAGGAUCACAAGUUCAAAGCCAACCUCAGCAAAAAGCAAGGUGCUAAGCAACUCAGCAAGACCCUGUCUCUAAAUAAAAUACAAAAUAGGGCUGGGUAUGUAACUCAGUGGUCAAGUGCCCCCGAGUUCAAUCCCUAGUAGCCCCUUGCCCCAUCCCCCCCAAAAAACACACAAGCUUUUCACUCCUGGGACUAAUUGUUUGAAAAUGAUAUAUCUUUCAAUAUAUUGCUAGAUAUGACUUGUUAAUAUUUUUCUUAAGGAUUUUCCUGUCUUUAUUCAUAAGGGAUAUUGGUUUAUACUGUUUCUAUGUCUACUUUUUUAUCAGUGUAGUGCUGCUCUCAUAAAAAAGCUUGGGUAAGACUACUUCUAUUUCCUUGAAAAGGCUAUGUAAAAUUGAUAUUAUCCUUUCUGCAUUUGAUAACAUUCACGAAAGCAGACAUUUGGGCCUAGAUUUUUCUUUGUGGCAAGGAUUUUAACUACAAUUUCUUCAUCCUAUUUAAGGCUAAGAUUUUCUAUUUCUGUUGAAAACAGACUUACUGAAGUAUAAUUCACAUAUUGAACAAUUCACUUGUUAUGGCUGAACAAUAUUCCAUUGUAUGGGGAUAGCAAAUUUUACUUAUCCAUCGGUUUGACAUUUGGGUCAUUUCCACUGUGGCUAUUAUGAAUUACGCUGUGAUGAACAUUUGGAUGUAAGUUUUUGUGUGUGUCUUAAUUCCUCUGACAUAUAUAUCCAGACGUGACAUUGUUGUAUCCUAUCACUCUACAUUUAACCUUUUGCAGAACUGCCAGACUUUCUUCUUGAAAGUAAUUUAUUUUCUAUUUUGUUCAUUCAGUUCAUACAUUUUUUAAAAAAUGGCUCUUGCUUUCAUUUUUGUUUCAUUUUCAAUUAUUGGUUUCUGCUUUCUACAUCCUCAAUCCUGAAUUUUCUCGAGACAGGAGCUUUGUAGUUGCCUAGGAUGACCUUGAACUUGAUAUCCUCCUGCCUCAGCCUCUCAAAUCACUGAGAUUAUAGGCAUGUGCUACUGUACUAAGCCUUUCCUAGUUUCUUAAAAUUUAAACUUAGGCCCUAGAUUCAAGAUCUUUCUUCUUUUAAAAUGUAUAUAUCCAAAAGUAUAAAUUAUCCUUAAAUCACAUCUACAGCUGCAUCCUGAAGCUUUUGAUAUACUUUUAAUUUUCCUUGUUUUAAUAUUUUCUAAUUUCUUGUAAUUUCUUAAGACACGAGUUUAGAAGCAGAUAUUCCAGAUAUAUUACCAACCUUCUUGAAUGUAUUGUGGCUUACAUUAUAACCCAUGAUUUGGUCUAUUUGGUCAACACUUUUUUAAAAAGUAUUCACUUGAGAUAUGAUUGCCAGCAUUUCCUAGUUUUCUCCCAUCCUCAAGAACACUUACAUAAGGUUUACCUUCUUAGCAAAUUUGAAUAUUUAUCUUACUGGGGAUUGAGCCCAAGGCCUUGCAUAUACUAAACAAGUGCUCUAUCAGUCAACUGCACUCUCAGCAUCUUAGCAAAAUUUUAAGUAUAUAAUACAAGGCUGUUAGUACAGUGUAUAGUGGCAUCAAUCACAGCACCUAAUACAGUGUAAGCUUUCAGUGUUAUUGUAAGGAAUGAAUCCAACACAAAGCAGUAUGGUUGGGCCAAGCAGGCAGCAUAAAAAUAUCCUAAAACUAAGCAAAAGCAAAGCAAUGCUUUUGUAAACUGCCAGUUCAUUAUAAUUUGUUUUCUCCUUAAUUUAUUUCCAGUAUCAAUAAUCUUACUGAUUUUCUUCAACAUGAGGUCUUAAACCCUGAGUUUAAAAAAACACCAUUUUCUCCAAUACUAGGAAUCAAACCCAGAGCCUCCCACAUGUACUGAGCUACAUCACCAACCAUUAAAUUUGUUAAUGCAAAAAUUUCCUUUUAAACACAUAAUUUAUAAUUCUGUUAAAUCUGAUUUUUACUAUAGUUCAACUCCAAAGCCUUAUAAAUUAUUGAUCACUAUUGUAUUUUUCCCCUAGUAUUUAACGUUGUGAAUUACCUUGGUCCUAAAUUGUUUUUGCCAUUGUUACCCAGCUAUCUCACACCUGUUAUAAGACACUUCUUUGCUGUGGCCUUACAAUAGCUCCAUGGAAAUAUUUCAUUCUCUAACAUUUUUCAUGACAGUGAAAGUUAAUUAUAACUUUCCUGGUUGUGUAUAUCUGUUAGAAUUUUGUGAACCUUCAGUGUUUUGCAGACUUUUUUUUGGAAUAUUUAUACUCUUUUAUAUCCAUGGUAUCUCUUCCAUGACCUCACUCAGUAUAUUUUCCUUGUAAGUUCCAAAGAACUUUGUAUAAAGCUAUUUUUACUGAAUUUUCUUUCCUUUGUGAUCAGUGUGAAUGAGUUUUCUAGUUCCUAACUGGCAGAACGCCCCUGAUAUUUGUCAAGCUUUAUUAAAUUCAUUUGGUUGGCACUAAAGUCACUGAGACCUCUUGGGUUUUUCAGUUCCAAAGUCUUACACUGACUAUCCUACCUGCUUUAAAAACUCUUAUGUGUAAAAGAAGAUACCCCUUUCACUUUGUCAACUGGACCUAUUUCAUUAGUGGUCACUCAAAGGCAGCAAAGAAAAUAUCCUUUUAAAACUCAGGCAAACUAGGCAUUGUGGCACAUGCCUGUCAUCCCAGCAACGCGGGAAGCUGAGGCAGAAAUAUUACUGGUUUGAGGUUGACCUAAGCAACUUAGUGAGCCCUAUAUUUUCAAAGUAAAAGGGGCUGGGGAUGUAGCUCAGUGGUAAAGUUCAAUCCCUAGUACCAAAACAAAACCAAAACCAACAACAAAUUCAGACUGACUUGUAACUGUCAGAGGAAACUGGAAAAAAAAGGCAAAAAGUAUGACACUGACAACUAUUUAGUUUGUAUUGACUCAAAAUUAAGUUUUCUCCAAAAUUUUGUUGAAAAUUAUGCUUUCCAUCUCAAUGUAGUUUCUCAUAACAAUUGACAAAAGAUGUUUCCUGUCAUUGUGCUAGGCAACACCAGGGUGGGUACACAUACCCUUUUACCAUGUUAGUGCCUGAUCCUUGUGGGAUAAUGUCAGUGUACUAACCCUGUAAAAUUAUUUAGGUACUUUUUUUUUUUUUUAACCUUGAGGACCCAUGAUGAUCUAGGAUACAAAAAGUCCCAGGGUACAUAUUAUAUACAGAAUUUGGAUUUGGAGACACUAGAUAAUUUUAUGUAAACAAAGGUUACGGGGGAAAAAAGUGGUGGGGGGUGGAUGGAAAGGCUAGUAAGUACUGAGUAGAUCUGGAAGUUAUAAUUGAAAGAAUUGUUUACCAUCUCACCCCAAUCAAGAACACAAGCAACAAUAGGUGUUGGCGAGGAUGUGGGGAAAAAGGUAUACUCAUACAUUGCUGGUGGGGUUGCAAAUUAGUGCAGCCACUCUGGAAAG